rnacentral:misc_RNA from 1 species
AACGCAUCUUGCGCUCAUUGGUAUUCCAAUGAGCACGCCUGUUUCAGUAUCAGAAACACCCCACAUUCAAAAUCUUUUUUUUGAAUGGAACUGAGAGUUUUUACGGUUUGAUUUUUUUGAAGUCAAGCUGUUCUCUUUAAAGAUAUUAGGCCUGAAAUUUUAGUUUUUUUGUUGCCUGAACUUUUUUUUUAAUAUAAAGGAAAAGCUCUGGUCAAUUUUUAAAAAAGCUUAUUAUGUUGGGGCCUCCCAAAUAAAUCUCUCUUAAAUUUGAUCUGAAAUCAGGCGGGAUUACCCGCUGAACUUAA